CCAAAAACACAAACCCAGAUCCUGACACACAGCUUAGUUUGUUUGACAGAUUCUCUGAUCUGCAGCAGCUCCAGCUUGUUUUCCUCUGCCUCUUCUCACAUCUCCUGGUUAGAACCUGAAGAACAGCACAAUGGUCACCAUGUGGCAUUAAGUCAUCAUGGUUGUGAUUGGACCACAUCCAGGGUCCUCAGGUUUGUGUGAAAGAGGUUCUUCCACAUGCCUUCAUGGUGGUUGAUGAUAUUACCAUCAAAGGAAAGGUUCUGGAGCCACUUGCAGAUCUCUGUGGGUCAACUCGCAGGGACCUGUUAAAGAGCCUCCGUGAGAUUCUGGAGG